AUGUGGGGCAUGGGCCUGCUGUGGUGACCAGAGCCUGCUCCUGAGGUGGAAAGUUGCUGAGCAGCUGCAAAUGCCAUCAUUCAUUUCUAAGGAGAGAAACUAAAUCUCAAAUACCCUCAAAAAGGCCAAUCAGGGCUCCGGAAGUAAAUGCUCUAGUAGGCAAUGUCCUUUCCUAUUGGAAAUUCCCCACUUGGGAAGAUUUGUCCUUUGCUAAAAGGACAGCUUUCUUGCAAGGCCAUUGUUUUUUAAUGUGGGCACUCCUUGAAAUAGUUACACAUUAGGACAAUAGUGUCUCAAGUGAUUUUUGGCACCUUCCAUCAGUAUCCAUCUAAGACUUGAACUACCUCUAUGCUUAUUUGACUUGGACUUUAGAAAGUCCUUGGCCUAUUUGGGUGUGCUGGUGCACACCUGUAAUCCCAGUGGCUUGGGAGGCUGAGGCAGGAGGAUCACAAGUUCAAAGCCAGCCUCAGCAACUUAUCGAGGUCCUAAGAAACUUAGCCAGACCCUGUCUCAAAAAUUUUUAAAAAAGAGCUGGGGAUGUGGCUCAGUGGUUGAGCAACCCUGGGUUCAAUCCCCAGUACAGGGGUGGGGGGGCAGUUCUUGCCCUAGGCACAAUACCUACAGAAAAUCAUGGCAACUAUGACACAGAACUGGAGUCAAAAUUUUUUACCUUGGUUUGGGGCUAAAUAAAAUCUUUGGUAUGAGACCUAGUUAGACACUGCCCUUAAGGAAUAUUACAGACUGGCCUCCUCUUGUCUACUCAGUCAUAUUUUCCAAUAGUUCCUAACCCCUAUUCUCCAUUCCAUUUAGUCUCUGCACAAGCCUCUCCCAUAAUUAUUCAAAUUGCUGUCUCUGUAUGUAAUAGCCUCUACUGAUUUAAAAUCCUCCCUUUGAGGCUUAUGCCCUGCUUCUCCAUGCAACCUUUCUUAAUCUCAUCCACCUAUCUUCUUCUCCAUUUUCAAAAUUCCUAGUUGAUCUUGUAUAGCCUUCUCUGCUUCUUGUUUGAGGGACUUCCCUCCUUGAGAGAUGUUAAACUUCCUAAGAGUAAAGGCAUCAUUUAUAGCCUUCCAGAGGUCCCAGUAAAGGGCUGAAUAAAAAGUGAUUAAGAGGCAGCUUGAUUUAUGUUCUUGACCAGCACAGGGAAGUUUUGUAUUUUCAAACGAUUUAUUUGAAAUUAAGUUACAAGAAUAGUACAAAGUUUACUCCAUACUCUCCACCCAGAUUCACCAAUUGAUAACAUUUGGCCCUAAUUCAUUUAUCAUUUGUUUGUGCCCACCAUACAUACAGAUAAAAAGAAUUUUCUUUUACAUAACCACAGCUAGUUAUCAACUUUGGUAAAUUUCACAUUGUUACACUAUUUUUUAAUGUGUUGAUAACAUUCUAUGUGGGCAUUUUCCCUUGCAGUACAGGAUCUAGUCUAGGAUCACUUUCUUUGCCUUUUAUGAUGUUGAUCUUUUUGCAGUCCUAUUUUAAAAAUACAAUCUUCUUAUUUUGAGCCAAUUUGUUGCUCAGUUUCUCCAUUAUAUAAUUACUAGCCUUUCUUCUACUUCCUUAUUACUAAUGAACAAUCUGUGGGGAGAAUUAUAAAUCCAUGCAAAUAUCUUUCUACUCAUCAAAAAUGUCCCCCUGGAUUUAGCAUCUAUUGAUAAUUC
rnacentral:lncRNA from 1 species